GUCCCCAUCGUCUAGAGGCCUAGGACACUGCCCUUUCACGGCAUGUAANAGNGGGUUCGAAUCCGCCUAGGGGACG
rnacentral:tRNA from 1 species